AGAGUUUGAUCCUGGCUCAGGACUAACGCUGACGGUGUGCAUAAUACAUGCAAGUCGAACGGACGAUAGAAAAGUGGCAACACUUUUUUAAAGUUAGUGGCGAACGGGUGCGUAACACGUGGGCAAUCUGCCUUGAAGAUUGGGAUAACUCCUCGAAAGAGGAGCUAAUACCGAAUGUGCUGUAUAUUUCGCAUGAUUUAUACAGUAAAGGUAGCCGCAAGGCUUCCGCUUUAAGAUGAGCCCGCGGCCUAUUAGCCAGUUGGUAGGGUAACGGCCUACCAAAGCUAUGAUGGGUAGCCGGUCUGAGAGGAUGGUCGGCCACACUGGGACUGAGAUACGGCCCAGACUCCUACGGGAGGCAGCAGUAGGGAAUCUUGCGCAAUGGACGAAAGUCUGACGCAGCGACACCGUGUGAGGGAUGAAGGUCUUCGGAUUGUAAACCUCUGUCAAUUGGGGACGAAGGUAGUAGGGUUAAUAGCUCUUACUAUUGACGGUACCCAAUAAGGAAGUCUCGGCUUACUCCGUGCCAGCAGCCGCGGUAAGACGGGGGAGGCAAGCGUUGUCCGGAAUUAUUGGGCGUAAAGAGCGCGUAGGUGGUUUGUCAAGUCAUUUGUGAAAACUUUAGGCUCAACUUAAAGAUUGCAAGUGAUACUGGCAUACUUGAGCACAGCAGAGGAAAGUGGAAUUCCUGGUGUAGCGGUGAAAUGCGCAGAUAUCAGGAAGAACACCAGUGGCGAAGGCGGCUUUCUGGGCUGUUGCUGACACUGAGGCGCGAAAGCUAGGGGAGCAAACAGGAUUAGAUACCCUGGUAGUCCUAGCCGUAAACGAUGGACACUAGGUGUGGGAAGUUAUCGACGCUUUCCGUGCCGAAGCUAACGCAUUAAGUGUCCCGCCUGGGGAGUACGGCCGCAAGGCUAAAACUCAAAGGAAUUGACGG
rnacentral:rRNA from 1 species